AUUGAACGCUGGCGGCAUGCUUUACACAUGCAAGUCGAACGGCAGCGCGGGCUUCGGCCUGGCUGCGAGUGGCGAACGGGUGAGUAAUGCAUCGGAACGUGCCCAGUAGUGGGGGAUAGCCCGGCGAAAGCCGGAUUAAUACCGCAUACGACCUGCGGGUGAAAGCGGGGGACCGAAAGGCCUCGCGCUAUUGGAGCGGCCGAUGUCGGAUUAGCUAGUUGGUGGGGUAAAGGCUUACCAAGGCGACGAUCCGUAGCUGGUCUGAGAGGACGACCAGCCACACUGGGACUGAGACACGGCCCAGACUCCUACGGGAGGCAGCAGUGGGGAAUUUUGGACAAUGGGGGCAACCCUGAUCCAGCCAUGCCGCGUGCGGGAAGAAGGCCUUCGGGUUGUAAAACGCUUUUGUUCGGGAAGAAAUCCUCUGGGCUAAUACCCCGGGGGGAUGACGGUACCGGAAGAAUAAGCACCGGCUAACUACGUG
rnacentral:rRNA from 1 species